rnacentral:rRNA from 1 species
GUGAGGAAUAUUGGUCAAUGGGCGCAAGCCUGAUCCAGCCAUGCCGCGUGCAGGAAGACGCAUCUAUGGUGUGUAAACUGCUUUUGUACGGGAAGAAACACUCCCUCGUGAGGGAGCUUGACGGUACCGUAAGAAUAAGGAUCGGCUAACUCCGUGCCAGCAGCCGCGGUAAUACGGAGGAUCCAAGCGUUAUCCGGAAUCAUUGGGUUUAAAGGGUCCGUAGGCGGUUUAAUAAGUCAGUGGUGAAAGCCCAUCGCUCAACGAUGGAACGGCCAUUGAUACUGUUAGACUUGAAUUACAAGGAAGUAACUAGAAUAUGUAGUGUAGCGGUGAAAUGCUUAGAUAUUACAUGGAAUACCAAUUGCGAAGGCAGGUUACUACUUGUGGAUUGACGCUGAUGGACGAAAGCGUGGGGAGCGAACAGGAUUAGAUACCCGGGUAGUCC